rnacentral:ncRNA from 16 species
AAGCCCGCCCCCGUGGCGGGUGAGAGGGAACCCGGUGGAAAUCCGGGACUGUCCCGCAGCGGUGAGUGGGAACGACCGCCGUCAUCAGCACUGGGCACACCGCCUGGGAAGCGACGGCCAGUAGGUCGGCCGAAGUGGCCGGUGCCCGCGAGUCCGAAGACCUGCCCGUUGUGCCGGAUACGCC